UACGUAGGGGCAAGCGUUGUCCGGAAUCAUUGGGCGUAAAGCGCGUGUAGGCGGCUGACUAAGUCCGCUCCUGAAAGCCCGGGGCUCAACCCCGGGAGGCGGGUGGAUACUGGUCAGCUCGAGUCCGGAAGAGGAGUGUGGAAUUCCUGGUGUAGCGGUGAAAUGCGCAGAUAUCAGGAGGAACACCAAUGGCGAAGGCAGCACUCUGGGACGGUACUGACGCUGAGACGCGAAAGCAUGGGGAGCGAACAGG
rnacentral:rRNA from 1 species